rnacentral:rRNA from 1 species
CCUACGGGAGGCAGCAGUAAGGAAUAUUGGUCAAUGGACGCAAGUCUGAACCAGCCAUGCCGCGUGAAGGAUGAAGGUCCUCUGGAUUGUAAACUUCUUUUAUCUGGGACGAAACCCAUCUUUUCUAAGGUGAUUGACGGUACCAGAGGAAUAAGCACCGGCUAACUCCGUGCCAGCAGCCGCGGUAAUACGGAGGGUGCAAGCGUUAUCCGGAUUCACUGGGUUUAAAGGGUGCGUAGGUGGGUUGCCAAGUCCGUGGUGAAAUCUCCGAGCUUAACUCGGAAACUGCCAUGGAUACUGGUAGUCUUGAAUUAUCUGGAGGUCAGCGGAAUAUGUCAUGUAGCAGUGAAAUGCUUAGAUAUGACAUAGAACACCAAUUGCGAAGGCAGCUGACUACGGGUAUAUUGACACUGAGGCACGAAAGCGUGGGGAUCAAACAGGAUUAGAUACCCUGGUAGUCCACGCCCUAAACUAUGGAUACUCGACAUUCGCGAUACACAGUGAGUGUCUGAGNGAAGANAUAGUAUCCACCNGGAGACGACCGCGAGUAGAACGUACAAUAGAGUUAGACGGACGUUAGAGACGNGCCGACGGACGACGACGAGGGAGGAGGG